rnacentral:lncRNA from 1 species
GCGGCCGCCAGCGCGGGCGGAGCCGCCGCCUGGACACAGGGCGGGGCGCGGGGCCUGACCCUCAGGGCGACCGCAGCCCGGGCCGGCGCGGGGGGCGAGCAGCCGGGCGUGGGCGCCCCGACUCUCGCCCUGCCACCCGGGAACCCCGGACACGCGACCCCGACAGCCCAGGCUCCGGCGCCCGCGAAAGACACAUCGGACCUAUUCCGAAAGACAAUUUGAUGCUGGGCCUGGGGCUGGAGGACAUGAGGCAUCAGGGGACUUGACAGGAGAUCAGUCUGGAAAGAUUAGCCUUUUCAAGACUGUCAUAUGAAUGGAAUCACACAUGUCCAGGAAGAAAAGACUUCCACCAGUCACCCCAGACAAAGGGCUGUCAUGGGGGAGACUGUCUGGUAGCAGGAGGCGGAGGCAGAGGCAGCUCCGGGCAGUUGGCUGUUCCCAGAAGGCCACACGCUGCUCUUGACUUGGCUUCUUCCAGCCCUAUUGCCUGCUGGCUGGCACCUGCCCCCUUGUGUUGUCUGCCCCUCAUCACUGGCAUUCUUCAAGUUUAUACGUGGGACGCCUACCACAGCAUGGCUGCCAAGCAGUGCCGUGUCCGCACCCGGGAUCCGAACCAGCGAACCCCGGGCCGCCGAGAAGCGGAACGUGCGAACUUAACCGCUGCGCCACCGGGCCGGCCCCAUCACCUGGAAAAUUUGAAAGGAGAUUCCUACUACUUUAAAAGUACAUCUCAUUUCUGGAUCUACUCACCAUGAAUUAAUAUCUUUUUAUUAAACCUUAUAUUAUCUCAUGAAAAGUGUGAUCAUAUUGCAUUUUUUGCUACUUUCGUUAAAGGUAUUAAUGUAGACACUGAAAAUACACCACAGAUUUUGUAAUCCUGCUUUAGUGCUUAUUUUUUCAUAUUUAUAUGCCAGGAAGUGGUCCCCCAGCCUCACGUCCUUGGUCUGGUUUUAGGGUCAGCCUGUGGCUAGGCUGCUCUGGGUGGCUCAGAGGUGGAC